rnacentral:rRNA from 1 species
UACGUAGGGUGCGAGCGUUGUCCGGAAUUAUUGGGCGUAAAGGGCUCGUAGGCGGUUUGUCGCGUCGGGAGUGAAAACGCCGUGCUUAACACGGUGCUUGCUUUUGAUACGGGCAGACUGGAGGUAUGCAGGGGAGAACGGAAUUCCUGGUGUAGCGGUGAAAUGCGCAGAUAUCAGGAGGAACACCGGUGGCGAAGGCGGUUCUCUGGGCAUGUCCUGACGCUGAGGAGCGAAAGUGUGGGGAGCGAAC